rnacentral:rRNA from 1 species
UGCAUAUCAAUAAGCGGAGGAAAAGAAACUAACAAGGAUUCCCCUAGUAACUGCGAGUGAAGCGGGAAGAGCUCAAAUUUAAAAUCUGGCGUCCUCUGGUCGUCCGAGUUGUAGUCUGGAGAAGCGUCUUCCGUGUUGGACCGUGUACAAGUCUCUUGGAACAGGGCGUCAUAGAGGGUGAGAAUCCCGUCUUUGACACGGACUACCAAUGCUUUGUGAUGCGCUCUCAAAGAGUCGAGUUGUUUGGGAAUGCAGCUCAAAAUGGGUGGUAAAUUCCAUCUAAAGCUAAAUAUAGGCGAGAGACCGAUAGCGAACAAGUACCGUGAGGGAAAGAUGAAAAGCACUUUGGAAAGAGAGUUAAACAGUACGUGAAAUUGCUGAAAGGGAAACGCUUGAAGUCAGUCAUGUCUGCCAGGACUCAGCCUCGCUUCUGCUUGGUGUACUUUCUGGUUUGAUGGGCCAACAUCAAUUUUGACCGUCGGAGAAAGGCUUUGGGAAUGUGGCACCUUCGGGUGUGUUAUAGCCCUUUGUUGUAUACGGCGGUUGGGAUUGAGGACUGCAGCACGCCUUUAUGGCCGGGGUUCGCCCACGUACGUGCUUAGGAUGUUGGCAUAAU